AAUAAAUAAAAUCAACAACAAACCAUUUGUAUUCUGAAGAAUUAGUCAGUCUACAAUUUUUAUUUAAUUCUUAAAAUCAUUGAUAAUAUGGCACCCAGGACAAACUUGAUUGAGGAAAAUUAGGACGACGAUUGCGGCGGCCCUUCUUUUUUUGACACCGAUUUUUACACAAAGACGGAGAAUCUGCCGAUCAUCCGGUAUCCACCUCAUGGUCUCACUCGUGGGGAAAGAAAGGCAUUUAGACGUCGCGAGGGUGAACGUCAUCAAAGAUUACGGAGGGAGGCGGAAGCAGAUGCGGCAGCGGAGGACGCGGAGGUUGUGGCAGCAUAGGCGGUGGCUAAGGCCGCUGUAGCCAAAGCCGAGGCGGCAGAGCGCCGCGCCGUUGAGGCUGCGGCGACACUUGCGGGUCUCCAAAUAGAGGCUAAACGACUCCGCAUCAUUGCGAAUUCGUCAAGUGCAACAGCGAGGGGAAUGGCCGUCUCCCUCGAUGCAAAAAAGACGAAAUAAAUAAUAUUUUACUUAUU